rnacentral:rRNA from 1 species
GACGAACGCUGGCGGCGUGCUUAACACAUGCAAGUCGAACGCUGACCCACUUUCGGGUGGUGAUGAGUGGCGAACGGGUGAGUAACACGUGGGUAACCUGCCCUGUACUUUGGGAUAAGCCUUGGAAACGGGGUCUAAUACCGGAUAUGAUCUCGCACCGCAUGGUGUGGGGUGGAAAGUUCCGGCGGUAUGGGAUGGGCCCGCGGCCUAUCAGCUUGUUGGUGGGGUGAUGGCCACCAAGGCGACGACGGGUAGCCGGCCUGAGAGGGCGACCGGCCACACUGGGACUGAGACACGGCCCAGACUCCUACGGGAGGCAGCAGUGGGGAAUCUUGCGCAAUGGGCGAAAGCCUGACGCAGCGACGCCGCGUGAGGGAUGACGGCCUCGG